GUAGAGCAGCCGGAACGGGAGCGAAUAGCUCUGUGGGUAGGUUCGCGUGUU
rnacentral:sRNA from 1 species